UAGUUCACAAUAAAAAAUAAAAAUCUAAGAGACAUUUGUACCGUCCUGUACUUGGAGAUACUUAGCACAAUUCUAAGGUAUCCAAGAGCUCCUCUUAGGUCAAAUUAGAACAAAAAUACUUUUCACAAGAACAAAGAAUGAAGCUCUCUACAAUAUCAAUACAUUUUUAAUAGGAGUAGUACUUAAGAAAGAAAUGUGGAUGGGGGAAUGUCGCAGCAGGAGACAGGUUGACAGAGUAAGUAACAUGUGAUCAGGUUAGGAGCUAACAAUAGAGACUCUCAGUCACUAAACUCAUCUAUUCUUGUGAUGCCUCAUGAAGAGUAUGGAAACCUAGGCCAGACCUCUGCAACAAGUCAAAGUGAUGAUGAUAGCCAAGAAACUCGUCAUCAGAACAAACCACCGGGCCCAGGAGGCCAACAUAACCAGACCCGCCCACCUUUCCCUGGAAACCAAGGUGGCCCACCACAGGGGGGCCAGCAGAAUUCUACUCGCCCACCUCACCCUGGAAACCAGCAGCGACCACCUCAACACGGAGGCCAACAGAACAACACUAGCCAAGGAAACCAACAGGGAGGUCCACAGGGAGGACAACAACAGGGAAGAUCCCAACAGGGAGGAUCUCAGCAGGGAGGAACACAACAGGGAGGAUCCCAACAGGGAGGCCCACAGAGAGGACCCCAGCAGGGAGGCACACAGGGAGGACGACAACAGGGAGGACGACAACAGGGAGGACCCCAACAGGGAGGCCCACAGGGAGGACCCCAGCAGGGAGGCCCACAGGGAGGACCCCAGCAGGGAGGACCACAGGGAGGACCUCAACAGGGAGGCCCACAGGGUGGACCCCAACAGAGAGGGCCACAGGAAGGACCCCAGCAGAGAGGACCACAGGGAGGACCCCAGCAGGGAGGCCCACAGGGAGGACCCCAGCAGGGAGGCCCGCAGCAGGGUCCACAAUCACGUUUUCAAGGAAACAGACCACAAGGCCCUCCCCAAGGACAACCACCACAAUAAUCCACAGUCAAUCACAGAGUAUGAGAACCUAGACGAGAGCCUAGCUGCAACACAGAACGAUGAUGACAGCCAAGAAGAUCGUCCACAGCACAGACCACCACGUCCAGGAGGCCACCACAACCAAACUCGCCCACCUCCUCAUGGAAACCACCACCGACCACCACCUCCACAGAAGGGCACACCACCUCCACCGAAGGGCACUAAACCCCCUCGUCCACAAAAGGAAGAAGAGUAUGAGAACCUAGACGGGAGCCUAGCUGCAACACAGAACGAUGAUGACAGCCAAGAAGAUCGUCCACAGCACAGACCACCACGUCCAGGAGGCCACCACAACCACCAUCGCCCACCUCCUCAUGGAAACCACCAGCGACCACCACCUCCACAGAAUGGCACUAGACCUCCUCCUCCAGAAAAUGAACAAGAGUAUGAGAACCUAUACGAGAGCCUAGUUGCAACACAGAAUGAUGAUGACAGCCAAGAAGAUCGUCCACAGCACAGACCACCACGUCCAGGAGGCCACCACAACCACCAUCGCCCACCUCCUCAUGGAAACCACCAGCGACCACCACCUCCACAGAAUGGCACUAGACCUCCUCCUCCAGAAGAUGAACAAAGUUAGGCGAAAGAGAUAUUCAGGAGGGGAAUUGCCCAGGAAUCUCUGGAUAGCAAAAAGAACUAUACAGGGGAGCCAGCUCCAAUAAAGAAUCAAAAGUGUUUACCCUAAAAAGAGGCAAAAAGGAUUAUCCAAAAAUAGAGGCCCACAGAAAGUGAAUAAGAAGAUAAUGUCCUUUAAGAUCCAUGACUCUGGAACCAUGAUGUGACAACCCUAUGUUUCAAGUACCAAUAAAAUAAUCAGCAUGCAAUUUCUCAUGGCCCUCGUCUCUGAUUUUGGUUAUCUGUGAAUCUCUCACUUACAGGACAUGAACACAAUGGGACAGCAUUCAGGACCCCUUCCCACUGAUGUUUCCAGCAAAGUUAGUUUCUCCUUUAUGGAAUCAAAUCAACUCUCAAAUGAAAUAAUUCUCUU